rnacentral:tRNA from 1 species
GGUCUUAUAGUUUAUAUUAAAAUUUUAAAUUGCAAGUUUAAAGAAAGGUUUUUAAGACUU